rnacentral:rRNA from 1 species
GGCAGACGGGUGAGUGACAUGUAGGUAUCUACCCUUUGGUGAGGAAUAACACGAGGAAACUUGUGCUAAUACCUCAUAAGUCUUUACGGAGAAAGCUUUAUGCGCCGAAGGAUGAGCCUGCACUUGAUUAGUUUGUUGGUGGGGUAAUGGCCUACCAAGACCUUGAUCUAUAGCUGAUCUGAGAGGAUGAUCAGCCACAUUGGGACUGAGACACGGCCCAAACUCCUACGGGAGGCAGCAGUAGGGAAUAUUGCACAAUGGAGGAAACUCUGAUGCAGCGAUGCCGCGUGAGUGAAGAAGGCCUUUGGGUUGUAAAGCUCUUUCGUCGGGGAAGAAAAUGACUGUACCCGAAUAAGAAGGUCCGGCUAACUUCGUGCCAGCAGCCGCGGUAAUACGAAGGGACCUAGCGUAGUUCGGAAUUACUGGGCUUAAAGAGUUCGUAGGUGGUUAAAAAAGUUGGUGGUGAAAUCCCAGAGCUUAACUCUGGAACUGCCAUCAAAACUUUUUAGCUAGAGUAUGAUAGAGGAAAGCAGAAUUUCUAGUGUAGAGGUGAAAUUCGUAGAUAUUAGAAAGAAUACCAAUUGCGAAGGCAGCUUUCUGGAUCAUUACUGACGCUGAGGAACGAAAGCAUGGGUAGCGAAGAGGAUUAGAUACCCUCGUAGUCCAUGCCGUAAACGAUGUGUGUUAGACGUUGGAAAUUUAUUUUCAGUGUCGCAGCGAAAGCGUUAAACACAC